CACUAUAAAGCCAACCCAAUUCCCUUAGCUCGGGUCCUUUUCCAGCAUACCCGGAAGCUACAGAGAUGGAGAGAGAGGAACAGAACAAACAAACAAUGCGCUCAUCCACAACAUUGAUAAUUGAUCUGCUGUCAGAUGGUCAAAGUAGGUGGCCAGCAGUCCGAGCAUCACCAUCGUCACCAUCACCAUUAACCCCAUCAUCAUCAUCACAUCACUAUCAUCACCAUCCCCAUCAUCAUCAUGCAGCAACAGCCUCCUUUCCUCCAGAGGCUUUAGAGUUAAAGCCGAGGGAGAGAAAGUCUGCUAAUCCCUUAACUGAAACACUUCCAGGGUGAUGGUCAGAUUCACGUUUAUCGUCGAAGGAAUGAGCGUUACACCGAGGCCUGUACUCUGGAGCGGGAUCGAUUUGGAGGUGGAGGGUCCGUCAUAGUCUGGGGCGGUGUCUCUCAGCAUCAUCAGACUGAGCUUGUUGUCAUUGCAGGCAAUCUCAAUGCUGUGCGUUACAGGGAAGGUAUUCUCCUCCCUCAUGUGGUAGCCUUCCUGCAGGCUCAUCCUGACAUGACCCUCCAGCAUGACAAUGCCACCAGCCAUACUGCUCAUUCUGUGCGUGAUUUCCUGCAAGACAGGAAUGUCAGCAUUCUGCCAUGGCCAGCGAAGAGCCCGGAUCUCAUUCCCCCCAGAAAUGUCCGGGAACUUGCAUGUGCCUUGGUGGAAGAGUGGGGUAACAUCUCACAGCAAGAACUGGCAAAUCUGUUGCAGUCCGUGAGGAGGAGAUGCACUGCGGUACUUAAUGCAGCUGGUGGCCACACCAGAUACUGACUGUUACUUUUGAUUUUGACCCCCCCUUUGUUCAGGGACACACUAUUCAAUUUCUGUUAGCCACAUGUCUUUCGAACUUGUUCAGUUUAUGUCUCAGUUGUUGAAUCUUGUUAUGUUUGUUGAUAAUAAACUCAGUUGACAGUGA